AAAGGGGAUGGCAGGGGGGUAUAAUGCAGGUCGACGCUUUGUGGUUCAACUGAUUUGAAGAGCUUGCUCAGAUAUGACGAUGGACAUUGCAAAGAGUGGCGAACGGGUGAGUAACACGUGGGAAACCUACCUCUUAGCAGGGGAUAACAUUUGGAAACAGAUGCUAAUACCGUAUAACAAUGACAACCGCAUGGUUGUUAUUUAAAAGAUGGUUCUGCUAUCACUAAGAGAUGGUCCCGCGGUGCAUUAGCUAGUUGGUAAGGUAAUGGCUUACCAAGGCGAUGAUGCAUAGCCGAGUUGAGAGACUGAUCGGCCACAAUGGGACUGAGACACGGCCCAUACUCCUACGGGAGGCAGCAGUAGGGAAUCUUCCACAAUGGGCGAAAGCCUGAUGGAGCAACGCCGCGUGUGUGAUGAAGGGUUUCGGCUCGUAAAACACUGUUGUAAGAGAAGAAUGACAUUGAGAGUAACUGUUCAAUGUGUGACGGUAUCUUACCAGAAAGGAACGGCUAAAUACGUGCCAGCAGCCGCGGUAAUACGUAUGUUCCAAGCGUUAUCCGGAUUUAUUGGGCGUAAAGCGAGCGCAGACGGUUAUUUAAGUCUGAAGUGAAAGCCCUCAGCUCAACUGAGGAAUUGCUUUGGAAACUGGAUGACUUGAGUGCAGUAGAGGAAAGUGGAACUCCAUGUGUAGCGGUGAAAUGCGUAGAUAUAUGGAAGAACACCAGUGGCGAAGGCGGCUUUCUGGACUGUAACUGACGUUGAGGCUCGAAAGUGUGGGUAGCAAACAGGAUUAGAUACCCUGGUAGUCCACACCGUAAACGAUGAGUGCUAGGUGUUUGAGGGUUUCCGCCCUUAAGUGCCGCAGCUAACGCAUUAAGCACUCCGCCUGGGGAGUACGACCGCAAGGUUGAAACUCAAAGGAAUUGACGGGGACCCGCACAAGCGGUGGAGCAUGUGGUUUAAUUCGAAGCAACGCGAAGAACCUUACCAGGUCUUGACAUCCCUUGACAACUCCAGAGAUGGGAGCGUUCCCUUCGGGGGACAAGGUGACAGGUGGUGCAUGGUUUGUCGUCAGCUCGUGUCGUGAGAUGUUUGGGUUUAAGUCCCGCACGAGCGCAACCCUUUAUUUACUAGCUGGCCAGCAUUUCAGUUUGGGCCACUCUAGUGAGACCUGACCGAUGACAACCGGCAGGAAGGGUGGGGGAAUGAACCGU
rnacentral:rRNA from 1 species